rnacentral:rRNA from 1 species
GACGAACGCUGGCGGCGUGCUUAACACAUGCAAGUCGAGCGGAGCGGCGAACGGGUGAGUAACGCGUAAGUAACUGCCCCCCUCUCUGGGAUAACAGUUGGACACGGCUGCUACUACCGGCUAGUGGGGGAUGACUCGCGUCCUAUCCGCUUGUUGGUGGGGUAGUGGCCGACAAAGGCGACGACGGGUAGCCGGCCUGAGCGUGCGACCGGCCACAUUGGGCGGAGAUACGGACCGAACGCAUACGGGAGGCAGCAGUGGGGAAUAUUGCACAAGGGGGGAAACGCUGAUGCAGCAACGCCGCGGGCGGGAUGACGGCCUUCGGGUUGUAAACCGCGGUCAGCCAUGACGCGGUAGUGGCAGAAGAAGCACCGGCUAACUACGUGCCAGCAGCCGCGGUAAUUC